rnacentral:rRNA from 1 species
AACGAACGCUGGCGGCGUGGAUAAGACAUGCAAGUGGGACGCUAAUCAAUGGGUAGCAGUAUUCGUUGGUUGGAGUCGCGUAAGGGUGCGUAACACGUGGGUAAUUUGCCGCGAAGCUCGGAAUAACUUGCCGAAAGGUAAGCUAAUACCGAAUGUGACUCGUGCUGGGCAUCCAGUAUCAGUCAAAGCCGGGGAUCGUAAGACCUGGCACUUCGCGAUAAGCCCGCGGCCUAUCAGCUAGUUGGUGAGGUAAUGGCUCACCAAGGCUUAGACGGGUAGCUGGUCUUAGAGGACGACCAGCCACACUGGAACUGAGACACGGUCCAGACACCUACGGUGGCAGCAGUCGAGAAUUUUUCACAAUGGGCGAAAGCCUGAUGGAGCGACGCCGCGUGGGGGAUGAAUGGCUUCGGCCCGUAAACCCCUGUCAUUCGGGAUCAAAUCUGAUAACCUAACACGUUGUUAGUUGAUAGUACUGAAAGAGGAAGGGACGGC